AAAUAGAACUUUGCAGAGAGAGUUAACAGGGCGUGAAACCGUUGAUUGGCAAACGAAUCGGAGCCACGAAGUCGUUUCGUUGUUAGUUGGGCGGAGUUCAGUUCGCGCCGAAAGACGCGGGCGUAUUCUCACGCUCAUCCAACCUUGUAAGCGUACACUGCAACUUGUUAGACGAUCAGCUGUGGGCUGAGUGACGCAGAGCGAGCAAUCGCGCUGCGGCACGCAUUGUCUGUUCGCUCGCGGUAGUAGUAGCGCAGCUGACUUCGGUCUUUUUGUGUUGCUGGCCGCGUGGCGGGUGAACUACAGCUGAAUACUGACAAGCGAAAUGAAAACCGUUGAAAAACGUUAGAGAAAAAGCGGUUGGUCACAUGGAUAUUUACACGUUCGACUGUUAGGUCUAAGCUUGGCAUUUUUGAAUUCAGACCUGCUUGCUACCAGUGGGGCAACUCCUGGUGCUUGUACGGCUUCUGUCUAAUCGGGUGUCGACUUGGCUUGGCAUCGUUCGGGCGUGAAACGAUUGAGCGUUCAUAUGAACUAAUCCGCAAUUUAAACUGGCAGUGAGUAGGUCGGCUUUCCGAACGA
rnacentral:rRNA from 1 species